rnacentral:misc_RNA from 1 species
GAAAUGCGAUAAUUAAUGUGAAUUGCAGAAUUCAGUGAAUCAUCGAGUCUUUGAACGCACAUUGCGCCCCCUGGUAUUCCGGGGGGCAUGCCUGUCCGAGCGUCAUUGCUGCCCUCAAGCACGGCUUGUGUGUUGGGCUUCCGUCCCUGGCAACGGGGACGGGCCCAAAAGGCAGUGGCCACCAUGUCUGGUCCUCGAGCGUAUGGGGCUUUGUCACCCGCUCCCGUAGGUCCAGCUGGCAGCUAGCCUCGCAACCAAUCUUUUUAACCAGGUUGACCUCGGAUCAGGUAGGGAUACCCGCUGAACUUAAGC